GACGAACGCUGGCGGCGUGCUUAACACAUGCAAGUCGAACGGAAAGGCCCGCUCGUGUGGUACUCGAGUGGCGAACGGGUGGGUAACACGUGAGUAACCUACCCUUGCCUUUGGGAUAACUUCAGAAAACCGGGGCUAAUCCCGGAUCGGAGCUCCUGCUGCAUGGGGGGGGGCGGAAAGUUUCGUCGGUUGGGGAUGGAAUGGCGGCGUAUCAGCUUGUUGGUGGGGUAGUGGCUCACCAAGGCGUUGACGGGUAGCCGGCCUGAGAGGGGAACCGGCCACACUGGAACUGAGAUACGGCCCAGACUCCUACGGGAGGCAGCGGUGGGGAGUGUUACACAAUGGGCGGGGGCCAGAUCCGACAACGCCGCGUGGGGGAUGACGGCCUUCGGGUUGUGAACCGCUUUCGCCUUAGACGAGACGUUAGUGACGGUAAUGGGUGAAGAAGCACCGGCUAACUACGUG
rnacentral:rRNA from 1 species